rnacentral:sRNA from 1 species
GGAUAUCCCAGCUCACAGCGCUCCUUCACCACUAUUACCCAAUUGAGAUCGACCCACACCGGACCGUCAAGGAGAAGCUACCUCAUAUGGUGGAAUGGUGGACCAAAGCGCACAAUCUCCUAUGUCAGCAGAAGAUUCAGAAGUUUCAGAUAGCCCAGGUGGUUAGAGAGUCCAAUGCAAUGCUCAGGGAGGGAUAUAAGACCUUCUUCAACACACUCUACCAUAACAACAUUCCCCUUUUCAUCUUUUCUGCGGGCAUUGGUGAUAUCCUGGAAGAAAUUAUCCGACAGAUGAAAGUGUUCCACCCCAACAUCCACAUCGUGUCUAACUACAUGGAUUUUAAUGAAGAUGGUUUUCUCCAGGGAUUUAAGGGCCAGCUCAUACACACAUACAACAAGAACAGCUCUGCGUGUGAGAACUCUGGUUACUUCCAGCAACUUGAGGGCAAAACCAAUGUCAUCCUGCUGGGAGACUCUAUCGGGGACCUCACCAUGGCCGAUGGGGUUCCUGGUGUGCAGAACAUUCUCAAAAUUGGCUUCCUGAAUGACAAGGUGGAGGAGCGGCGGGAGCGCUACAUGGACUCCUAUGACAUCGUGCUGGAGAAGGACGAGACUCUGGAUGUGGUCAACGGGCUACUGCAGCACAUCCUGUGCCAGGGGGUCCAGCUGGAGAUGCAAGGUCCCUGAAGGCGCAGGCUCCAGCCCGGCCUGCAGGCCGUGGUGAGGAGGGGCGCCUCCCCAGAGUCCGCUCCCCCGUGAACACAGAGCAGAGGCCAGGGUGGCCAGCAGUGGCUGGGUCCUUCCGCGCCCCUCCGUCCUCCUUUCCCUGAGCACCUUCAUCACCAGAGGCUUGAAGGAACCCCGCCAUGUGGCAGGGCACAGGCACUGUUCCUGGUGAACCUUGGACCACAGCAUGUCAGUGCUCUAGGGAUUGUCUACUCCAGGGAUUUUCUUCAAAAUUUUUAAACAUGGGAAGUUCAAACAAAUAUAAUGUGUGAAACAGAUCAAAAUUUUUAAAAUGAAAAAAAA